GUAAGCAUAGUUUUAAACAAAACAUUAGUCUGUGGAUCUAAAAAUAGAAGCUGAAACCUUCUUACAUACC
rnacentral:tRNA from 3 species